rnacentral:lncRNA from 1 species
UUCUCUUUUUCUUCCUUCCUUCUUUCCUCCAUUCCUCUCUCCCUCCUUUCCUUCCUUCCUUCCUCUUCCUCUUUUCCUUCCCUUUCCCCUUUUCCUUCACUUUCCCCUUCUCCUUACCAUUUCCUACUUCCUUCCUCCUUUUCCUUUUGCUUCCUCCCUCCCUUUCCUCCUCCCUUUCUCCUUUCCCUCUUUCUUCCUCCUUCCCUUUCCUCCUUCCUUCCUCUUUCCUCCUUUUCCUUUUUCUUUUCCUUCUUUCCUUCCUCCCUUUCCUCCUUCCUUCUGCUUUCCUCUUUCCUUCCGCUUUCUUCCUUUUCCUUUUCCUUUUCCUUUUCCUUUUCCUUUUCCUUUUCCUUUUCCUUUUCCUUUUCCUUUUUCCUUUUUCCUUUCCCUUCUUCCCUUCCCCUUUCUCCCUUACUUCCCGCUCCGGGCAGGAAGGGCCGGGGCUCUAGGGCAGCGCAGGCGCUGGGGAGGGGCCGUUCCCCCCCGCCCUGCCCCGCUGCUCCCAAGGCGGUUCCGCUCCCGCCGCGCGCCUUUGUCCGCCCGUGAGGAAGCGGCUGAGCGGCAGCUCCCGGCCGCGGCCCCGGGAGACACCGGUGAACCCUCUCAAACCCGGACCUGGUCGGGGGGAAGGAGAUGGAGAGGGGGGAAGAGCCUCCCGCCUCUUCGCCUGCGGCUCGUUAUUAAGACACCUUCGCAGCUUAAACGCUUAAAAGCGACCCAAAUUAAACGUCAAUUAAAAGCGAGUUACACCCUUUCCUAUCUCCAGGCUGCUCGGCUGGGCAAGCCAGCCAUCAGCAGAGCCACGCUGCCGGGAAAUGCCAUCAUCUGGGCUGACAUCGUCCCGGGGGACGUAGGGACCCCCCGGCCGGAGCCCCCCGUCACCUCAGGGGCUGGAGAGCCAGGAGUGGGGGGGCAGAGGGACCGGGGUGGGCAGAGAGGGCUUAUCCCCGGGUGGGUGACACCUCGGAUCGGUGUCCCCAAAGAAAUGAAUACAGAAACAACGUACCCCUCCAGCUUCGCACGCCAGGGCUGCGCAGCCCCCCUGCGCUUCCACCAUACAUCGGCACUUGGAAAUGUCGAAACAGCUACCAGUGGUCCUUAGCUCAUACAUCCCCUUCCCUAUUUUCCUUUCUCAUUUUACAGAUGUAAUUCUAUAGAUCUAUAUGUAUUUUCUGUAUAGUUCCAUAUGUCACUGCAGUGAUACUUUGUGGUCUCACCCUAGUUUUAUGUUUGAAAAAGCUAUUUAAAGAAGCCUGUAAGAUAGCAUAUUAGGAAGCUUUAAAGGCAGGUUGGAGUGUGGGGUGGACUUAAAUUCGAUGUAAAUGCAAGGGUAAAAAAAAAAAAAAAA